CUGACAAUCCUGGAGAUGGACUCACUGUCUUUCUCUCCAGAACUGCUCCAGGCCAGGCAGCAGCAGUGCCAGCUUCCUCAUUCUGCCCCACCCAUGUGCCUCCUCCCUGAUCUAAGAAGAGUUCAGUCUCCGGGGUCAAUUCAGCCAAUGGCCUCU
ensembl:misc_RNA